UCCGCCCGGCACCCAGCACCCGGCCCCGGCCCGGCCCGGCCUCUCCCCGCCUGCUACCCGGCCCGGCCCGGCCGCUCCGCGCGGUACCCGGCUCCGGCCCGGCCCGGCCUCUCCCCGCCCGCUAUCCGGUACCCGGCCCCGGCCCCGGCCCGGCCCGGCCCGGCCGCUCUGCCCGGCACCCGGCCCGGCCGCACCCCGCCCGGUAGCCGGCCCCGGCCCGGCCACUCCGCCCGCUACCCGGCUCCAGCCCCUGGCCCGGCCACUCCGCCGGGAGCGGAGCCAGGGCGGCUCUCACGGGGCAGCCGGAGGCGCCCGGGCUGCGCGGUGCUGCGGGGGCCCGUGGGGGCCCGUGGUGCUGGCGGGGGCCGAGCCGCCGCGCUCGGUCCUGGUCCCGCCGUCCCGGCGCUCCGCGCCUGCCGAGCCCCGGAGCUGCUGCUUCUGUCAGCAGCGGGGAGCUGGACACGCGUUCCCAAACCCGACGUGACUGCCUGUUCGGACACGACCUGUCUGCGCCGGAACACCUGCCCGAGUGGAUUCCUUACACGUGUGUUAUACGCUUGUCACACAUCUUCCUGAUCUCUCCCAUAGGAGUUGGCGCUGUCGAACCUCUCCAAGGAAUCUGCACAUUCAGCUCGGAGAAUAAAAGAGAGAAAACCAUCUUGUGCAAACCCAGGCAGGUUUGGAUUCCCCUCGGGAGAGCAGUUUCACUUAUUUUUCAGACAGAAAGAGCAUGUUGAGGUGCAGGCAGUGGUGUCGGUGGCUCACCUGGUGUUGGUGCCGAGAACUCCCCAAAGCACUGCGAGAUCACUUCCAUGGCUUUCGGGGAUGGCCACAGCCCUCGGGUCUGGCUGCGGCACGGAGUGCCUGUCCCGACAGCAGAGGGCCGGCGAGGCACGGCCAGGGACAGGCCCCUCGAGGUGAGCUGUGUUCGCUCUAAACUCAUCAGUCCCUGGACAGGUGCACUUUAAUUUGUGUUUGAAGUGGAAUAGUUUUGAGGGAGAACUCCAGAACCACAGCAGAUGCUCCUGGUGGGCUGGAGAGCAGCCAAGGGGCUGCAGGUGCACCUGCCAGGUGCUGUAGCCUGGCUGGGCGUCUGCUGCAAGCUUUGUCCAGAUGUGCUUCACCCUCCUUUUCAAGGCUGGGGGCUUGAGAGAGGUCAGUUCUGUUCAGAGAACCAGAGAACCUCAAUAACCUCUUCUGAAUGUCUUGAGGAACUGUCACACUUCCACUUGACAAGUCAUGUCAGCUGCCUUGGGAAGAAAACCUGAAACCUGAGGGAAUCCUGAAAUGAAUGUCACCUGUCUACUCAAUGACCUGAAUUGGAAACACCUCCCUUCUUGGCAGUGCCAGCUGAGGUAUUCCUUAUCCUAAACUCAGUUUCAGUCAGAAAAAACACAAGGUGAUGGGUUUA